UACGUAGGGGGCAAGCGUUGUCCGGAUUUAUUGGGCGUAAAGAGCUCGUAGGCGGCUAUUCGCGUCGGAUGUGAAAGCUCAAGGCUCAACCUUGAGAGGCCAUUCGAUACGGGAUAGCUAGAGGUAGGUAGGGGAGAUCGGAAUUCCUGGUGUAGCGGUGAAAUGCGCAGAUAUCAGGAGGAACACCGAUGGCGAAGGCAGAUCUCUGGGCCUUACCUGACGCUGAGGAGCGAAAGCUGGGGGAGCGAACAGGAUUAGAAACCCCCGUAGUCC
rnacentral:rRNA from 1 species